rnacentral:rRNA from 1 species
UACAGAGGUCUCAAGCGUUGUUCGGAUUCAUUGGGCGUAAAGGGUGCGUAGGCGGCGCGGUAAGUCGGGUGUGAAAUCUCGGAGCUUAACUCCGAAACUGCAUUCGAUACUGCCGUGCUUGAGGACUGGAGAGGAGACUGGAAUUUACGGUGUAGCGGUGAAAUGCGUAGAUAUCGGGAGGAACACCUGUGGCGAAAGCGGACGCACUGGACCACAUCUGACGCUGAGGCGCGAAAGCUAGGGGAGCAAACAGG